CCAGACUCUACGGGAGGCAGCAGUGGGGAAUAUUGGGCAAUGGGCGCAAGCCUGACCCAGCAACGCCGCGUGAAGGAAGAAGGCUUUCGGGUUGUAAACUUCUUUUCUGAGGGACGAAGCAAGUGACGGUACCUUAGGAAUAAGCCACGGCUAACUACGUGCCAGCAGCCGCGGUAAUACGUAGGUGGCAAGCGUUAUCCGGAUUUACUGGGUGUAAAGGGCGUGUAGGCGGGAAAGCAAGUCAGAUGUGAAAACCACGGGCUCAACCUGUGGCCUGCAUUUGAAACUGUUUUUCUUGAGUACUGGAGAGGCAGACGGAAUUCCUAGCGUAGCGGUGAAAUGCGUAGAUAUUAGGAGGAACGCCAGUGGCGAAGGCGGUCUGCUGGACAGCAACUGACGCUGAGGCGCGAAAGCGUGGGGAGCAGACAGGAUUAGAUACCCCGGUAC
rnacentral:rRNA from 1 species